AUGUAGUUGACCAUUGUAAGCCUGACCCAUGUCUGCAUUCAGGGUGGUGCGUGAACACACCAAACGGUUAUUCAUGUCAAUGUACAUCAAGAUAUACAGGAAAGAACUGUCAAACAUUUGUCACAACCUCGACGACCCAAUCUA